AGAGAGAGCACGUGAGUUUUUUGGUCAGUUUGGUUCUUCUUCCUUGAGUUUCUAAUUGCUACUCUAUUUCUUUUUUGGCUUGCAAACCAAUCACCAAGUGUUUCCUUUGUGGGGUGAAGACUUGUGACAAUCAAGUGGGAGUUGUGGGUCGAGUAAAGCUCAGUUGAUGUUUGUUUGGUUGAUGAAAAUGAACCUGAAUCAAGAUUUCUCGAGGAUUUCUGCAACAAAGGACUUCCCGUUCGACCCUUGAGGUUACGGGACACCCCAAGGCAGCCUUCCCCACUCAUGCGGCCAACAAGCUAAUAGAAGGCACCCAGCACAUAUAAGGAUAUUGGAAGCUUGGCAUCAUACCUGAAUAAGGGAUACCGUUAGUGUACUUCCGAGAAAUAUAGCAGUAAAUCCAGGAUGAGAACGGGUCGUGUGGAUGCUUAGAAGAUUGACCAAGUGAUGCUUAUGGAAUCGCUAAGUAAAGUCUCCAGAAAAUAUUAUUGUCAACUUUUAUUUGAAUAGUAUCUUUAUGUUAAUGCACGUUAUUUAAUUUUUUUUUUUUUAGAGAUUCAGCAUUGGGCAUUUUAUAUUAAAUCUUAAACUAAUAGCUUGGAAUGGAGUAUUUCAAAGAUUAUAUUUAAUAUGAAAAUUUUACUUAA